rnacentral:piRNA from 1 species
UACCACUGGCAAGAUUUGAAAAGGACCU